ACCGGGACUGACGGCGAGCGGAAGAGGAAGGCGCGGGCCGGGCUGUGAGGUGGCAGCGGCUGCGGCGGCGGAGCGGGCGCCUCGGCCGGGCACCGGGGUCUGUUUCCCCUUCCCCGCCCUUCCCCCUGCAGGGGCGACAGGGCCGCAGCCCCCGACGGCAGGAGCAGGUCCCACCCCACGCCCUCGCCCCUGCUCCCCAGGACGGCGCUGGCCGCAUCGGCCACACCGGGCGGCGCAUUACCGGUCCGCCGCCUCCCCUGGCCCUGCUGCAGGGCCUCCGCCUGUGGGACUCGGGUGUGCCUGCUGUCCCUCGCCCGCUGGCGCAGGCAGGGCCUUUGCCCCGCCGACGGGCCUGAUAACGGCGUCUUUGCCUUCCUCGCCCAGCCGCGACCUCCAUUCCCUCCGCGCGAACAAACCGAGCUGAGCCCCCCAGCCCCUCCUCGACAGUUCCGUGGCGCAGCCGGUUUUAUUUCUGUUUUGAGACUAACAGCUAAAACUCGCGUUGGGCCUUCCUUCUAGGACUGGACUUGGUCUUUGAUCGCUGAGAGGGAGAGCGGCGGCGCUCGUCCUGGCAGCGGUCACGUCCGAAGCCGGCCGGGCCUCCGUUUGCUUUCACAGGAUCCCGGUGUCGUCUCAGCUGCUUCUCGUCCUCCCACUUUGGUUUGGCUUGGGUACCAGGGGUCCCGGUAAAACCAGACGCUGAACUGCUCUUACACGGCCAGAGUUACUGUCAUUCGCUUCCUGUCUCCUCUCAGAAGAAGGUGGACGGCACCGGCCUCUGAGCAGCUGGGAUUCGGAGAAUUGCCCCGCAGCAUGGUUCCAUCAGCCGUUGUGCUCCUCUGAGAGGCUCUCAGUGCUGAGUCACGUCUCUGUCCGCCUCCUGUGGGUGGGCAGAACUGCGCACCAUGGCAGAGGCUCUUGACCACUCUUGCCUGGGAGGAGGGGUUACUCUAGUAGCUGUGUGUUUCCUUAACACUCAGGAGUAGAGUAGAAAGAGGCCCUUAACCCUUCCCCCGUGCUGGCCUUCAGUAGCUAGUCUUCAAUAGCUAGUCGGCAGCCCCUUCGGUGAACUGAGUGAGAACCGUGCCCUCAGCCAGGUGCUCUUUGAAAAAGGCCCACUGACGAAGGCUCUUGUUGAGGCUGUUACUUUGAUGGAGUAUGUGCUUUUCCCCAACCCUUUCUAUAUCAGCUGCUGCUGUAUCGACUUAGAUCCGGUCUACAGAUGUGUGUAGUCCUUCAUUUUGGGUUAGAUUUGGCAGGAUUAAGUUUUGUUCCCUCCUCUUUCUGGAAGACAGACCAUAAUCCCGUUCAUGGGUGAAAUUGACUCUAAUAUGUAUUGCCAUUUAGACUGAGGGUUAAAUCUGGCACCUCGAGGACUGAAGCCCAGCCAUACGCUUCCUGGGGAUGCUGGGCCUGGAAGCAAGCACAGCUUGCUCUGUCGUUGACUUCACUGACCCUAGGUUUCCUGGUUAAAAACUGCAGGCCUACUAUUGGCCUAAUACCCAUCCAACCUAUUGAUUGAUCCUUCAAGCCGUGCCCUCUGGGGCAUACGUAUGGCAGGGCCUACCACCAUGCGACUGAGCUCCCUGUUGGCUGUGCUUCGACCAGCACUGCCCCUCAUCCUAGGGCUGUCUCUGGGAUGCAGCCUGAGCCUCUUGCGGGUUUCCUGGAUCCAGGGUGAGGGAGAAGAUCCUUGUGUAGAAGCUGUGGGGGAACCAGGAGUGCCACAUAAUCCAGACUCAAGAACUGGACUCGACCAAAGUGAUGAAGACUUCAAACCCCGGAUUGUCCCUUACUACAGGGAUCCCAACAAGCCCUAUAAGAAGGUGCUCAGGACUCGGUAUAUCCAAACAGAGCUGGGCUCUCGGGAGCGGUUGCUGGUGGCUGUCCUGACCUCCAGGGCUACCCUGUCCACUCUGGCUGUGGCUGUCAACCGCACAGUGGCCCACCACUUCCCCCGAUUACUGUACUUCACGGGGCAGCGAGGGGCGCGGACUCCUGCAGGAAUGCAGGUGGUAUCUCACGGGGACGAACGGCCAGCCUGGCUCAUGUCAGAGACCCUGCGCCAUCUCCACACACACUUUGGGGCCGACUACGACUGGUUCUUCAUCAUGCAGGAUGACACGUAUGUACAGGCCCCCCGCCUGGCAGCCCUUGCUGGCCACCUCAGCAUCAACCAAGACCUGUACUUGGGCCGAGCCGAGGAGUUUAUUGGCGCAGGCGAGCAGGCCCAGUACUGCCACGGGGGCUUUGGCUACCUGUUGUCACGGAGUCUCCUGCUUCGAUUGCGGCCCCAUCUGGACGGCUGCCGAGGAGACAUUCUCAGUGCCCGUCCUGAUGAGUGGCUUGGCCGCUGCCUCAUCGACUCUCUGGGCAUCGGCUGUGUCUCCCAGCACCAGGGGCAGCAGUAUCGUUCAUUUGAACUGGCCAAAAAUAGGGACCCGGAGAAGGAGGGGAGCUCGGCUUUCCUGAGUGCCUUCGCAGUGCACCCCGUCUCCGAGGGAGCCCUCAUGUACAGGCUGCAUAAGCGCUUCAGUGCUCUGGAGCUGGAGCGGGCAUACAGCGAGAUAGAGCAACUGCAGGCUCAGAUCCAGAACCUGACCGUGCUGACCCCCGAGGGCGAGGCAGGGCUGAGCUGGCCCAUCGGGCUCCCGGCCCCUUUCACGCCACACUCUCGAUUUGAGGUGCUGGGCUGGGACUACUUCACAGAGCAGCAUACCUUCUCCUGUGCAGACGGGUCCCCCAAGUGCCCACUGCAGGGGGCCAGCAGGGCCGAUGUGGGUGACGCCGUGGAGACUGCUCUGGAGCAGCUGAAUCGGCGCUACCAGCCCCGCCUGCGCUUUCAGAAGCAGCGGCUGCUCAACGGCUAUCGGCGCUUCGACCCGGCGCGGGGCAUGGAGUACACCCUGGACCUCCUGCUGGAAGCCGUGACGCAGCGCGGGCACCGGCGGGCCCUGGCCCGCAGGGUCAGCCUGCUGCGGCCGCUGAGCCGGGUGGAGAUCCUGCCCAUGCCCUACGUCACGGAGGCCACCCGCGUGCAGCUCGUGCUGCCACUCCCGGCGGCCGAGGCCGCCGCAGCCCUGGCUUUCCUGGAGGCCUUUGCGGCCGGCGUCCUGGAGCCACGAGACCACGCGCUGCUCACCCUGCUGCUGGUCUACGGACCCCGGGAAGGUGGCCGAGGGGCCCCAGACCCAUUCGUUGGGGUGAAGGCGGCAGCGGCCGAGUUAGAGCGACGGUACCCGGGGACCAGGCUGGCCUGGCUCGCCGUGCGCGCAGAGGCCCCUUCCCAGGUGCGGCUCAUGGACGUGGUCUCUAAGAAGCACCCCGUGGACACACUCUUCUUCCUCACCACCGUGUGGACCAGGCCCGGGCCCGAAGUCCUCAACCGUUGCCGAAUGAACGCCAUCUCUGGCUGGCAGGCCUUCUUCCCGGUGCAUUUCCAGGAGUUCAACCCUGCCCUGGCACCACAGAGAUCUCCGCCAGGGCCCCCGGGAGCCGGCCCUGACCCCCCGUCCCCUCCCGGUGCCGACCCUGCCCGGGGGGCUCCCGUAGGUGGCAGGUUUGACCGGCAGGCGUCCGCGGAGGGCUGCUUCUACAACGCCGACUACCUGGCGGCCCGAGCCCGGCUGGCCGGUGAACUGGCAGGCCAGGAAGAGGAGGAAGCCCUGGAGGGGCUGGAGGUGAUGGAUGUUUUCCUCCGGUUCUCAGGGCUCCACCUCUUCCGGGCCGUGGAGCCAGGGCUGGUGCAGAAGUUCUCCCUGCGGGACUGUAGCCCACGGCUCAGCGAGGAGCUCUACCACCGCUGCCGCCUCAGCAACCUGGAGGGGCUGGGGGGCCGGGCGCAGCUCGCCGUGGCGCUGUUUGAGCCCGAGCAGGCCAACAGCACCUAGCUCGGCCCGGGGCCCUGGCCCUCCGUGCGGCUCCCCUCUCGGCCGCGGCCCCGGCAGGGCAAGGCAAAACGGACGGACAGAUGGAGAGCUUGUGCUGUAUUUUUUUAAUAAGAUAAAUGUUAUUAAAAGUGUCUUCUGCCAAACUGUUUUUAGGUCUAGGGGAAACGGAGUAAAGAGAAGACUCUGAGGGAGGGGGUGGGCAGUCUUCCCAGAGGGACCCACCGCCUUCCCCUUGUCCUUCCUCCCCAGUUGCCAAUGACACACAAGUCUGCUCUCAGAUGCAUGACCUUUAAUCAUUCCCCUGCCUCACCCAGAAGGUGGCAGAGGAGUGUGGCAGAGCCCCGGGGGGCCAGGGCCCGGGGCGCGGAGGCCCACAGUGGGCUCAUUCGCGGGGGCUCCUAGGUGUUGCGUACAACCAGCGACUGCUCCAGCUCCUGCCUGCGCUGCUGGAUCUUGAGGAAAAUAAGAGCAGUAGCAGGGUUACGCUGUUGCUGUGCUCCCUGCGUCCCCUUCACCUUGAGGUCCCGGCUCUGGGAGCGGAGCAGGUCUUGGAUGUAGCCUUUGGGGUCUCUGGAGAAGCUUAGCAUGAAGUCCCUCUGGAUCUUGAGCUGGUUUAUGGACUCAAUCGUCUCAUGGAUCUACAGGCCGCCCACCCCUGGCCGGGGCUGACUCCCUAACCCAUGGCGCAAACAUCUCGUCUGUCCUCAGCUCAGCCCCAUACCCACCCCAGGACACCUGGAGAGACCUGGGCCAGGACGUACGUCAUCCAGGAGCUUCCCCUCCACCCGCAGCUCCCAGGAGGCAAUGCUGCCAUCAGAAUCUUCAGCAUCGGGCUUCGCAGGGUUAAAAGUAUUGGAGAUAUAAAGACGCAGCUUCCGCUUUUGCUGUAGAAAUAAAGAGUGUAGUACAGA